rnacentral:rRNA from 1 species
AGCAGCCGCGGUAAUUCCAGCUCCAAUAGCGUAUAUUAAAGUUGUUGCAGUUAAAAAGCUCGUAGUUGAAUUUCGGGACCAGUAUGUUGGUCGUGCUUCGGUACGUACUGUCAUUACUGGUUUCUCCCUUCUGAAGAACCUUGAUGUCAUUAAUUUGGUGUCUUGGGGAAUCAGGACUGUUACUUUGAAAAAAUUAGAGUGUUUAAAGCAGGCAUACGCUUGAAUACAUUAGCAUGGAAUAAUGAAAUAGGACGUUUGAUUCUAUUUUGUUGGUUUCUAGGAUCGACGUAAUGAUUAAUAGGGAUAGUUGGGGGCAUUAGUAUUCAAUUGUCAGAGGUGAAAUUCUUGGAUUUAUUGAAGACUAACUACUGCGAAAGCAUUUGCCAAGGAUGUUUUCAUUAAUCAAGAACGAAAGUUAGGGGAUCGAAGACGAUCAGAUACCGUCGUAGUCUUAACCAUAAACUAUGCCGACUAGGGAUCGGAUGAUGUUAUUUUAAUGACUCAUUCGGCGCCUUAAC